GACGAACGCUGGCGGCGUGCUUAACACAUGCAAGUCGAACGAUGAACCCGGAGCUUGCUCCGGUGGAUUAGUGGCGAACGGGUGAGUAACACGUGAGUAACCUGCACUUUACUCUGGGAUAACUGCGGGAAACUGUAGAUAAUACCGGAUACGACCCUCGGCGGCAUCGCCAGGGGGUGGAAAGAAUUUUGGUCAAGGAUGGACUCGCGGCCUAUCAGCUAGUGAGUGAGGUAACGGCGCAACAAGGCGACGAGGGGUAGCCGGCCUGAGAGGGUGACCGGCCACACUGGGACUGAGACACGGCCCAGACUCCUACGGGAGGCAGCAGUGGGGAAUAUUGCACAAUGGGCGCAAGCCUGAUGCAGCAACGCCGCGUGAGGGAUGACGGCCUUCGGGUUGUAAACCUCUUUUAGUAGGGAAGAAGCGAAAGUGACGGUACCUGCAGAAAAAGCACCGGCUAACUACGUGCCAGCCGCCGCCGUAA
rnacentral:rRNA from 1 species